rnacentral:rRNA from 1 species
UACGGAGGAUGCAAGCGUUAUCCGGAAUGAUUGGCGUAAAGCGUCCGCAGGUGGCUAUGUAAGUCUGCUGUUAAAGAGUGAGGCUCAACCUCAUAAGAGCAGUGGAAACUACAUGGCUAGAGUGCGUUCGGGGCAGAGGGAAUUCCUGGUGUAGCGGUGAAAUGCGUAGAGAUCAGGAAGAACACCGGUGGCGAAAGCGCUCUGCUAGGCCGCAACUGACACUCAUGGACGAAAGCUAGGGGAGCGAAUGGG